rnacentral:rRNA from 1 species
CUAUGCGCCUUGCCAGCCCGCUCAGGUGUGCCAGCAGCCGCGGUAAUACGUAUGGUGCAAGCGUUAUCCGGAUUUACUGGGUGUAAAGGGAGCGCAGGCGGCACGGCAAGCCUGAUGUGAAAGCCCGGGGCCCAACCCCGGGACUGCUCUGGAAACUGUACGGCUAGAGUACGGGAGGGGCAGGCGGAAUUCCUAGUGUAGCGGUGAAAUGCGUAGAUAUUAGGAGGAACACCGGCGGCGAAGGCGGCCUGCUGGACCGAAACUGACGUUGAGGCUCGAAAGCGUGGGGAGCAAACAGG